AACGAACGCUGGCGGCAUGCCUAACACAUGCAAGUCGAACGAUGCCUCCGGGCAUAGUGGCGCACGGGUGCGUACCGCGUGGGAAUCUGCCCUUGGGUUCGGAAUAACUCGCCGAAAGGCGAGCUAAUACCGGAUGAUGACGUAGUCCAAAGAUUCAUCGCCUAAGAAUUGGCCCGUGUAGGAUUAGCUAGUUGGUGGGGUAAAGGCCAACCAAGGCGACGGUCCUUAGCUGGUCUGAGUGUAUGAUCAGUCACACUGGGACUGAGACACGGCCCAGACGCCUACGCGAGGGAGCAGUGGAGAGUAUUGGGCAAUGAACGAAGGCCUAAUCCAGCAAUGCCGGGUGAGUGAGGAAGGCCGUAGGGUUGUAAUGCUCUUUGACCCGGGAUGAUAGUGACAGUACCGGGAAAAUAAGCUCCGGCUAACUCCGUG
rnacentral:rRNA from 1 species